rnacentral:tRNA from 1 species
GGGGAUUUAGCUCAGUGGUAAAGCGCUUGCCUAGCAAGCGCAAGGCCCUGGGUUCGGUUCCCAGCUCCCA